rnacentral:lncRNA from 10 species
UGGAAACGCUGGCCUCAUAACACAGCCCAGAGCUGGCUGCCUGCCUCCACUGCAGUGUGGCUCCUGUUAGCACAGUUCACUUCACCUUCUGCGCAUUCCUAUGAAGUCAGACACUGCGAAAGGGCUGAGAUUGUCCCCUCUUGCCAGGGAACGAGGUAGCCUGUGCUGGUUCCAUGCACACAUCUGACCAAAGAUCGCAGGGCUCGGUUCAGAGACACAGACUGUGUGUUCUUCACAGCAGAAAGCAGUAGCUCUGCAAGCUCCUGGGUUGGUCCCCACCAUCCCGAUUCCCAUGGGCCACGCAGAGGGCCAGGUGCUCGCCUGCAGCUGUGCAGGUUGCGCCGCAGGAGGGGAGCCCUGAAUUGGGAGCUGGAGCUUUCCUUGAGGUGACUUCAUGACCUGCCGUCCUCCCCUCCAUAGACAUGACCUGGAAUGUCACUCGCUGCCCAGGGGCUGAGGGAAAAGCUCUCUUGGGCUGUAACGCUGGAAGGCCUGGGGUGCUGAGAUGUCGCCCACUGUUGCCAGCCAUUCGUACUGAAACAGCCCUCGUUGGUUGCCCCCAACCUGCUCCUGCUUUUAGAAAUAUAGUCGUCCAUCUCUCUGUAUCCACAGGGUGGUGGGAGAUGGGUUCCUGGAUGCCCCACAGAUCCCCAAAUCCAAGGAUGCUCAAGUCCAUGAUAUGAAAUGGUGUAAUAUUUGCAUAUAAGCUAGGCACAUCCCCUGUACACUUUAAAUCAUCUCUAGAUUAUGUAUACUAUUUAAUACAAUGUAGAUGCUAUGUAAAUAGUUGUUGUACUGUAUCGUUUGGGGAAUAAUGACAAGAAAAGGUCCGUGUAUGUUCAGCACAGAUGCAACCGUCUGAGGUCUAACUACACAGUACACAUCAGCCACAGUGGAACAUUGUGGACCGCAGGAGGGUGAGGCAGGAGGCAGGGGGAUUGCUUGAGGCCAGGAGUUCAAGACCAGCUUGGGCAACAUGGUGAGACCUCAUCAACAGCACCACCACCACCGCCACCACCACAACAACAACAAACCAAUGAAACAUUUUUUGGAACUUUUGUUUGAAUUUUUUCAAUCCCUGGUUGAUUGAAUCUGGGGAUAUGGAAUCGGUGGAUAGGGAGGGCCCCACACAGCCCCUUUGUUAAACUCACCUUAAAUUACUCAGUUUGCACGUGCCACGUGCUUGCUGUAGAGAUCCUCUCCGGAUUAAGAAUAUAUUUUUAAAAACUACAAAUCAAUGGGAAAAAGACAAACCUAACGGGAUGAGAAGCAAAGGCUCUGGGUAGGAAAUUCACAAAGACAAAACCUUGCUAGCCAAUAAGCAUAAAAAGAUGCUUGACCUCAGAGAGGCCAAAGCCGAGUCUCAUACCCCACAGUAGUGGCGAGAAUGUGAGGAAAUGGGAUCUCAUUCGCUACUGGCAGAACUGAAAUCCGAGGCAUUAUGGAAUGCGAUUUGGCAGUAUCCUGGAAACUGCAGAGGCUCAGCCAUUCCUCCGCUAGGAGUGCCAAACGCCGCACGUCUCCAUUCAAUCCUGCUCUCCGCGCGCCCCCUGGUGGCACUAGUCCGCACCUGCCCCAUCCCAAGCGCAUUGAUUCCCAAUGAUUGGAAACAACCAAGUGUUUGUCAAUAGGAGAAUGUGUUAGUAAAGUAUAUUAUAUUUAUAAAUUAUAUAGUAGGACAGCAAAAAUCAGCUAGGUCUAAGUCAACAUAGGUAAAUCUCUAAAUCAUAAUGUUAAGUGAAUAAAGGAUAUGCUCUUGUGAGUAUGUGUGAAACUUUAAAACUCAGAACAAUACUGUAUUGUUUAGGAAACAUUCUUUUGUAGUUAAAGUCUGUGAUCAGGGAUAGGGAGGAUAAACACAACCUUCAGAUUAGAGGUUACAUGUGGGAUGGAAGGAUAGGAAUCAACUGGAUAGAGGAACCAUUCAACUCUACCUGUAAACUAUUGUUUCUUAAAAAUGUCUGAAGCAAAGAUGGCAACAAAUUAACACAUAUUAAAAUGGAAUAGUGAUUCACUGGGUGGCUGUAAUAUUCUCAUAU